AGCGAACGCUGGCGGCAGGCCUAACACAUGCAAGUCGAACGAACUCUUCGGAGUUAGUGGCGGACGGGUGAGUAACACGUGGGAACGUGCCUUUUGGUUCGGAAUAACUCAGGGAAACUUGUGCUAAUACCGAAUGUGCCCCUCGGGGGAAAGAUUUAUCGCCAUUAGAGCGGCCCGCGUCUGAUUAGCUAGUUGGUGAGGUAACGGCUCACCAAGGCGACGAUCAGUAGCUGGUCUGAGAGGACGACCAGCCACACUGGGACUGAGACACGGCCCAGACUCCUACGGGAGGUAGCAGUGGGGAAUCUUGCGCAAUGGGCGAAAGCCUGACGCAGCCAUGCCGCGUGAAUGAUGAAGGUCUUAGGAUUGUAAAAUUCUUUCACCGGGGACGAUAAUGACGGUACCCGGAGAAGAAGCCCCGGCUAACUUCGUG
rnacentral:rRNA from 1 species